rnacentral:rRNA from 1 species
AGAGUUUGAUCAUGGCUCAGGACGAACGCUGGCGGCGUGCUUAACACAUGCAAGUCGAACGGGACCUUCGGGUCUAGUGGCGAACGGGUGAGUAACACGUGGGUAACCUGCCCCAGGCUCUGGGAUAACUCCGGGAAACCGGGGCUAAUACCGGAUAUGAUCUCUGCCCGCAUGGGUGGGGGUGGAAAGAUUUUUCGGUC